CCUCCUCCUCCCCCGCACUCCCGCCGCCCCGUCUUCUCUUCGUCCCGCCUCGCCCCUCUCUCUCCCUCCAAACCCUACCCCGCGCACGCCUCCCUACCCCGCCGCCAUCUCCUUCGCCGCCGGGAGCUCGCCCGGGAUGACUGCCGCGGGGUUCCUGGUGGGCUUCCUCCUCGGCCUGCUCGCGCUCACGGAGGCCGAGGCGGCCGCGCUGCUCUGGUUCGUGCUCCGCCUCCGCCGCCGGCGAGGCUCCGGUGGACUCGGACGGCUCCUCUCCGUCUCCUCCCUCGCCCCCACGUGUGGUUCCGCUUCCCGCUGGCCACGAGGUGCAGCCUUGCAGGGGCGCAUCGGGCUGGGCCUCUGUUUCCGGUUAGUUCAUCCCCCUCCUCCUCCUCUCCGAUCUGCUCUGGUUCUCGCCCUCUCCUCUUCUUCCUUCUCUCUCAGAUAUGGUGCAGCAGCUGCUGUGGGGUUGAGGUGUUCUGGCAACGGUAGGAGCUCCGGGCCCGUCCAGGUCUGGUGCUCCAUCUAUGCUGAUUUUCAGAAACUGUUGCCCAGAGAGAUCUCCAUGAAGCAUUGCGCCUGAUGCAGAUGUCAAAGUAUUCAAUCUACUCUGAUGACCACCAGCGGUGUAGUCUUGGUACAUAUACUGCAUCCUGAGAGAUAAAGCAGCAAGGACUAGCAGCAUGGAUGUGAAAUAUGGUCAUGCUCUUAACCUGAUCUCCAGAAAGAUUUCUAUAUCUCCUGAAGCAAGAAAAGUAUUUUGAUGGAGCACAAUUGAUGUAGAUUCAAACUACUCUCCUGUGAGGAUUUGUUCUGCUAUACAUUUUCCUUUCAUUUCCCAUCCAGGUUGUGUUCAAAUGAUAGGUGGCAUUGCAAAUUAUGACCAGUUUAAAUGUUGUUUAGUGAGCCUCCAUCUGCCAAUUGGAAAUAAACUGAGGGACCUGAAGUUUCAUCUAUUAGGAGAAGCCGGUGCUUGUGCGGGUUGCCGGAUUAAUCAAGAUGGAAGCUGAUGCAAUAAGAGUCCCAUCGGUACCAUUGCCUGUGACCAUGAUGCAGACAUUCACUCUAGGAUUUGAGAUUUUCUUUUCUCAUCCCCUACGAUAAAUUAUAGUUCAAGGAGUGAAUUCAUCCACGUCUACAUAUUUUCAUAUUUUGUUGUGUUUUGGCAUAACCAUUAUCUGAUUUGAGUUUUUGUAAGCGUGCUGAAGUCUUAUUGAUUGUGUUCCUGCAAAUAAACAUGAUCACCAAAUGGGCGUCUUCUGAAAAUUAAGAGAAUUAACUAAUUGUAUAUGCUAUUUAUUUGUGUUCUUUUUGUAAGAUUCAGAUGAUGCACACUUGAAUAUGAAUGAAGGAUGUGUCCUUGGCUAUUGGGCCCUAA